rnacentral:lncRNA from 1 species
CUAGAUGAGGUCCUUUGUAGUCUUAUUCAUUUUGGGUGAUCCUUAUUCUCCUGGACCAGAACAAUAUGGAGAAAAACACAGGGCAAGGUCUCUAGGGCCACAACUCCAGAGGCAAAGUACACAUCAAGGUCUAUGUAAGAAAAUUGCCCUCCAGUGACCUGGGUGUAGGUUAUCACAGAGUAUUUACAUUGGGGGCUGAGGAUGGAGGAAUCUCUCCAAAUGUACUUUUCUCCUCAUUUGUUGAAACUUGCUGUGAAUACUUUCUAUCUUCAGUUACUCUCUCAACUUGCCUUUUAUGGCAGUAAGUUAGUUGCCUAGGGAAAUGCAUUAAUUUUAUGGUGGCUCACAGGCCAUUUAGUACAGCUGAGCUGAUGCAAUGGACCUAACCCGCCAUGGGACUCAACACUAGGAGAGCGUGAAAAUACAGAGCCAAUGACCUAGGUGUCUGAGUGUAGACCGUCCCCUGUUCACCUGCCACCUUCUGCUGCUCCUUGCUCUCAUCUGCUAGGUUCUUCCAUGCUCUUUCAGCAUCCUACGUCUGUGCCUCAGUCUCAUCUACAAAGGGGAAUAAGAACAUUAUAUACUUUUUAUGGAUCUUUUGAGAAUUGAACAAAUACAUAUAAAACUUUUACAACAGCCCCAAACAGUACUAGUAGUGGUAAAUAAAAAGUAAACAUAUAAAAUAACAAAUAAAUUUAUUAGCAGUAAUAAAGAGUAGAAAAGUAACAGUAAGUAUAAGCUAUUAUCACAUCGUCAUGACAACCACCAUACCAUCAUCAUCAUCAUCAUCAUCAUCUCAGCCUCUGAUACUUGCGUCUUGUGCUAUAGAAUAGUAUAUAAUUCUGUGGCUCACCCUCAGCAUCCUCCCUAGAACUGUGCUAUACGAUAGGGUAGCCAGUAGUCACAUGUGGCUACUGAGAACUUGAAAUGUAGCUCGUUCAAACUGAGAUGUGCCAUAAGAAUACAAGCUCGAUUUAGAAGACUUAGCACCAAAAAAAGAAUCUCUCAUCUAGACUCUGAGUGGAGACACUUCUGCUUUCUAUUAUGGAUUUGCAGGGCCUGGCUUGCCCAGGGCAGUUAAGCCCAGCCUGCCCUGCCAAGAGAGAGUGACGGGAGAAAAGCUGAUGGGCGUGCAACUUAGAAGUUGGUUACUAAGGGCCUAAGUGGAGCCCUCAGGAAAGAGUUAUUGCCUCUUAAAUAGCACCUUACUCUCUGGGAGUGAAUGAAAGGAGGAGCUCUUUCUGUUAAAGUCAUUUAAGAUCCUUUGCUGAAAGGAACCAUAUGCUACACAAUGAAAUAUAUUCCAGGCAAGAUGCAUAUGUUUUGCACAAUAAACACGUAUGCAAAUCUUGCAAAGAUUUUUAAGAAGAAAAUGUGCUGAUAUUAUUCACAUCAGUAUCAUUUAAUGCAUCCUUAUUCUUCAGAUCUGAAACCAAAUCCAAGUCACUGCUUUCCUCCUCUGCCCCAACCCUUGACGGUGAAUAUUUUAUACAAAAGCAAUCUAAGAUUUUGGGGCUUGGUCAAGAGGAGUUUGUUUCCGGUGGCUGAAAUUUAAGGCUCAAUAAAUCAUAAGCUCCAAACAGACUGGCAAAUAUCCAAUGGGCCUGGCAGUAUCUGCAAAUGCCUUCUUCCUCUCUGGGACGAUCUGGGUGGGAACAGCACUGAGCCAAAAUCCCAAGACCUGAAGCUGCGGCCUGCCCUUCUCAAGUCUAAGAUUCACAAAGCGUUUUCUCUUUAGGACUGUUCUCAGACUUGAAAUAUUUUGAACACAGACCUGCAAUCCAUAAUUGGAACUGGCGUUGAAAGGAAAUUAGAGUGCUCCUUGAAUCACAACCAUGCAAGGUUUCUCUCUGCCUAAAUGAGUCUCCAUUGCAGGUGACAGAGCAGAAGAAGCCUUGUGGGGUCCUAAUAAAGUUGUGCUGGCUAGUGAAUAAACAGGAAAAUUCAGAAAUCAGCGUCGUCCUGGGAGACUCCAUUCAGGGAGUAAAAGGUCUCACCGAGCAUGGUGCCAUCCCUUUAAUUGUCCCCUGCUCCGUGUGUUGCUUCCCAUCAUACAUUCUUCUGAAAAGCCGUAUUGCAGCAAAUACACAUUUAGGAUUUGAUUACAGAGUCUCAUCCAUUUACAUGUACAAGAUAGAGCCUACUGUGACAGAUUAAUGCUCCUAAAGUUUGUACAGGAAGGUUAAAUAAAGUGUUACUUUUAUGACACCAAAUAUCUUUAUGAUGCUUUUGCUAAAUCAGAGACCACUUGGUGAUGCUGCAGAUGUGCCAGAUACUUAUCACGAGCUGGCAGAGUGCCACUCGUGCUUUGCCCAUCUAUCACAUGCCUUACAUUUCUGCACGGGCCAUCCUUACUGCUGUGUGUAAUACAAUAUUCGCCAGCCAGCUUUCUCUUCUACACGUUUAGUCAAAGUGAAACAAUUCAAGUCCUGUCAUCCUGAGACAUGGCAAUGUUGCUAGAAAGAGUGCAACUCGAAAUUUCACACACAAUUCAGCUCUUUCCAACGUGGAUAUAAUGCACACACACGUACACACACAGACACACAUAAUCUUGGGGAUUGUAACGCCAUGGUCAAAGCUGCCACCACAGUUUUAUCUUCUUUCCCUUCCACUCUCCUUUUGAUAUCCAUCUACUUUGAUUGCCUUGCCCUUCCUUCCACUGUGAAGCCUGGAACAUUCUCUGUUGAUUCUUGUUCACGCUGAAUUUUCUGCUCCCUUUUCAGUUCCUUAAUAAAUAUCCAUACUGAAUCUUGUCUUAUUACAUCAGCCUCUCUGUGUUUUCCUUAAUGAUAAUUAAGUCUCCUGAAAAAUUGAUGUAAAGGCAUUUCUUGGUUGAGCCAUAAUUUGGCCAGAGUUGUG